rnacentral:rRNA from 1 species
GACGAACGCUGGCGGCGUGCUUAACACAUGCAAGUCGAACGAUGAACCACUUCGGUGGGGAUUAGUGGCGAACGGGUGAGUAACACGUGGGCAAUCUGCCCUGCACUCUGGGACAAGCCCUGGAAACGGGGUCUAAUACCGGAUACCACCACCGCAGGCAUCUGUGGUGGUUGAAAGCUCCGGCGGUGCAGGAUGAGCCCGCGGCCUAUCAGCUUGUUGGUGAGGUAGAAGCUCACCAAGGCGACGACGGGUAGCCGGCCUGAGAGGGCGACCGGCCACACUGGGACUGAGACACGGCCCAGACUCCUACGGGAGGCAGCAGUGGGGAAUAUUGCACAAUGGGCGAAAGCCUGAUGCAGCGACGCCGCGUGAGGGAUGACGGCCU